CCUACGGGAGGCAGCAGUGGGGAAUAUUGGACAAUGGGCGAAAGCCUGAUCCAGCAAUGCCGCGUGAGUGAUGAAGGCCUUAGGGUUGUAAAGCUCUUUUACCAGGGAUGAUAAUGACAGUACCUGGAGAAUAAGCUCCGGCUAACUCCGUGCCAGCAGCCGCGGUAAUACGGAGGGAGCUAGCGUUGUUCGGAAUUACUGGGCGUAAAGCGUACGUAGGCGGUUAUUCAAGUCAGAGGUGAAAGCCUGGAGCUCAACUCCAGAACUGCCUUUGAAACUAGAUAGCUAGAAUCUUGGAGAGGUGAGUGGAAUUCCGAGUGUAGAGGUGAAAUUCGUAGAUAUUCGGAAGAACACCAGUGGCGAAGGCGACUCACUGGACAAGUAUUGACGCUGAGGUACGAAAGCGUGGGGAGCAAACAGGAUUAGAUACCCUGGUAGUCCACGCCGUAAACGAUGAUAACUAGCUGUUCGGGCUCUACGAGCUUGAGUGGCGCAGCUACGACAUUAAGUUAUCCGUCCGUCGGGAGGUACGGUCGCGAAGAAGUUAAACUAACAAAGAAAGUUAGACGGCGUGAGACGUGCCGAACGGACGACGACGAGGGAGGUAGG
rnacentral:rRNA from 1 species